rnacentral:rRNA from 1 species
CCUACGGGAGGCAGCAGUGGGGAAUAUUGCACAAUGGGCGGAAGCCUGAUGCAGCGACGCCGCGUGAGGGAUGACGGCCUUCGGGUUGUAAACCUCUUUCAGUAGGGACGAAGCGUAAGUGACGGUACCUGCAGAAGAAGCACCGGCUAACUACGUGCCAGCAGCCGCGGUAAUACGUAGGGUGCGAGCGUUGUCCGGAAUUACUGGGCGUAAAGAGCUCGUAGGCGGUUUGUCACGUCGUCUGUGAAAUCCUAGGGCUUAACCCUGGACGUGCAGGCGAUACGGGCUGACUUGAGUACUACAGGGGAGACUGGAAUUUCUGGUGUAGCGGUGGAAUGCACAGAUAUCAGGAAGAACACCGAUGGCGAAGGCAGGUCUCUGGGUAGUAACUGACGCUGAGGAGCGAAAGCAUGGGUAGCGAACAGGAUUAGAUACCCUGGUAGUC